CAGCCCUAAACGAUGCGCGUUAGGUGUAUCGGUGACCACGAGUCACCGAGGUGCCGAAGGGAAACCGUGAAACGUGCCGCCUGGGAAGUACGGUCGCAAGGCUGAAACUUAAAGGAACUGGCGGGGGAGCACCACAACGGGUGGAGCCUGCGGUUUAAUUGGACUCAACGCCGGGAAGCUCACCGGAUAGGACAGCAGAAUGAUUGCCGGGCUGAAGACCCUGCAUGACUAGCUGAGAGGAGGUGCAUGGCGUCAGUGACU
rnacentral:rRNA from 1 species